rnacentral:rRNA from 1 species
UGCAGUCGAGCGGAACGAGUUAACUGAACCUUCGGGGAACGUUAACGGCGUCGAGCGGCGGACGGGUGAGUAAUGCCUGGGAAAUUGCCCUGAUGUGGGGGAUAACCAUUGGAAACGAUGGCUAAUACCGCAUAAUAGCUUCGGCUCAAAGAGGGGGACCUUCGGGCCUCUCGCGUCAGGAUAUGCCCAGGUGGGAUUAGCUAGUUGGUGAGGUAAUGGCUCACCAAGGCGACGAUCCCUAGCUGGUCUGAGAGGAUGAUCAGCCACACUGGAACUGAGACACGGUCCAGACUCCUACGGGAGGCAGCAGUGGGGAAUAUUGCACAAUGGGCGCAAGCCUGAUGCAGCCAUGCCGCGUGUGUGAAGAAGGCCUUCGGGUUGUAAAGCACUUUCAGUCGUGAGGAAGGUAGUGUCGUUAAUAGCGGCAUUAUUUGACGUUAGCUACAGAAGAAGCACCGGCUAACUCCGUGCCAGCAGCCGCGGUAAUACGGAGGGUGCGAGCGUUAAUCGGAAUUACUGGGCGUAAAGCGCAUGCAGGUGGUUAGUUAAGUCAGAUGUGAAAGCCCGGGGCUCAACCUCGGAACUGCAUUUGAAACUGGCUGACUAGAGUACUGUAGAGGGGGGUAGAAUUUCAGGUGUAGCGGUGAAAUGCGUAGAGAUCUGAAGGAAUACCGGUGGCGAAGGCGGCCCCCUGGACAGAUACUGACACUCAGAUGCGAAAGCGUGGGGAGCAAACAGGAUUAGAUACCCUGGUAGUCCACGCCGUAAACGAUGUCUACUUGGAGGUUGUGGCCUUGAGCCGUGGCUUUCGGAGCUAACGCGUUAAGUAGACCGCCUGGGGAGUACGGUCGCAAGAUUAAAACUCAAAUGAAUUGACGGGGGCCCGCACAAGCGGUGGAGCAUGUGGUUUAAUUCGAUGCAACGCGAAGAACCUUACCUACUCUUGACAUCCUCAGAACNUACUGGAGAUGCUUUGGUGCCUUCGGGAACUCAGAGACAGGUGCUGCAUGGCUGUCGUCAGCUCGUGUUGUGAAAUGUUGGGUUAAGUCCCGCAACGAGCGCAACCCUUAUCCUUGUUUGCCAGCACUUCGGGUGGGAA